rnacentral:rRNA from 1 species
GCGGCAGGCCUAAUACAUGCAAGUCGAGGGGCAGCAUAGUCUUCGGACUGAUGGCGACCGGCGCACGGGUGCGUAACGCGUAUGCAACCUACCCACAACUGGGGAAUAGCCCGGAGAAAUCCGGAUUAAUACCCCAUAAUGCAGGGGUACCUCCUGGUACUAUUUGCUAAAGAUUUAUCGGUUGUGGAUGGGCAUGCGUCUGAUUAGUUUGUUGGUGAGGUAACGGCUCACCAAGACCACGAUCAGUAGGGGGUCUGAGAGGAUGAUCCCCCACACUGGCACUGAGAUACGGGCCAGACUCCUACGGGAGGCAGCAGUAGGGAAUAUUGGGCAAUGGGCGAAAGCCUGACCCAGCCAUGCCGCGUGAAGGAUGAAGGCCUUCUGGGUUGUAAACUUCUUUUAUACAGGAAGAAAAAGGUCAUGCGUGACCAAUUGACGGUACUGUAUGAAUAAGCACCGGCUAACUCCGUGCCAGCAGCCGCGGUAAUACGGAGGGUGCAAGCGUUGUCCGGAUUUAUUGGGUUUAAAGGGUGCGUAGGCGGUGCGUUAAGUCAGUGGUGAAAUCUCUCGGCUCAACCGAGAAACUGCCAUUGAUACUGGCGCACUUGAGUACGGACGAGGUA